rnacentral:rRNA from 1 species
CCUACGGGAGGCAGCAGUAGGGAAUCUUCCACAAUGGACGAAAGUCUGAUGGAGCAACGCCGCGUGAGCGAUGAAGGCCUUCGGGUCGUAAAGCUCUGUUGUUAGGGAAGAACAAGUAUCGGAGUAACUGCCGGUACCUUGACAGUACCUAACCAGAAAGCCACGGCUAACUACGUGCCAGCAGCCGCGGUAAUACGUAGGUGGCAAGCGUUGUCCGGAAUUAUUGGGCGUAAAGCGCGCGCAGGCGGUCCUUUAAGUCUGAUGUGAAAGCCCACGGCUCAACCGUGGAGGGUCAUUGGAAACUGGGGGACUUGAGUGCAGAAGAGGAAAGCGGAAUUCCACGUGUAGCGGUGAAAUGCGUAGAGAUGUGGAGGAACACCAGUGGCGAAGGCGGCUUUCUGGUCUGUAACUGACGCUGAGGCGCGAAAGCGUGGGGAGCAAACAGGAUUAGAUACCCUGGUAGUCCACGCCGUAAACGAUGAGUGCUAAGUGUUAGGGGGUUUCCGCCCCUUAGUGCUGCAGCUAACGCAUUAAGCACUCCGCCUGGGGAGUACGGCCGCAAGGCUGAAACUCAAAGGAAUUGACGG